GCGGGCGUAGCUCAAUGGUAGAGCCUCAGUCUUCCAAACUGAUCACGCGAGUUCGAUUCUCGUCGCCCGCUCCA
rnacentral:tRNA from 12 species